rnacentral:rRNA from 1 species
GUUCAAGCAGCCGCGGUAAUACAGAGGGGGCAAGCGUUAUUCGGAAUUAUUGGGCGUAAAGGGCGCGUAGGCGGCUUGGCAAGUGGAUGGUGAAAUCCCUCGGCUUAACCGAGGAACUGCCGUCCAAACUGCUUCGCUUGAGACCGGGAGAGGUGAGUGGAAUUCCCAGUGUAGCGGUGAAAUGCGUAGAUAUUGGGAGGAACACCAGUGGCGAAGGCGGCUCACUGGACCGGUACUGACGCUGAUGCGCGAAAGCGUGGGGAGCAAACGGGAUUAGAAACCCGAGUAGUCC